GAUGAACGCUGGCGGCGUGCCUAAUACAUGCAAGUCGAGCGAACGGACGAGAAGCUUGCUUCUCUGAUGUUAGCGGCGGACGGGUGAGUAACACGUGGAUAACCUACCUAUAAGACUGGGAUAACUUCGGGAAACCGGAUCUAAUACCGGAUAAUAUUUUGAACCGCAUGGUUCAAAAGUGAAAUACGGCCUUGCUGUCACUUAUCGAUGGAUCCGCGCUGCAUUAGCUAGUUGUGAAGUUAACGGCUUACCAAGGCAACGAUGCAUAGCCGACCUGAGAGGGUGAUAGGCCACACUGGAGCUGAGACACGGUCCAGACUCCUACGGGAGGCAGCAGUAGGGAAUCUUCCGCAAUGGGCGAAAGCAUGACGGAGCAACGCGGCGUGAGUGAUGAAGGUCUUCGGAGCGUAAAGCUCUGUUAUUAGGGAAGAACAUAUGUGUAAGUAACUGUGCACAUCUUGACGGUACCUAAUCAGAAAGCCACGGCUAACUACGUG
rnacentral:rRNA from 1 species